rnacentral:rRNA from 1 species
GACGAACGCUGGCGGCGUGCCUAAUACAUGCAAGUCGAGCGAACUUGCGGGAGCUUGCUCCCAAAAGUUAGCGGCGGACGGGUGAGUAACACGUGGGCAACCUGCCUAUAAGACUGGGAUAACUUCGGGAAACCGGAGCUAAUACCGGAUAAUCCUUUUCUACACAUGUAGAAAAGCUGAAAGACGGUUUACGCUUUCACUUAUAGAUGGGCCCGCGGCGCAUUAGCUAGUUGGUGAGGUAACGGCUCACCAAGGCCACGAUGCGUAGCCGACCUGAGAGGGUGAUCGGCCACACUGGGACUGAGACACGGCCCAGACUCCUACGGGAGGCAGCAGUAGGGAAUCUUCCGCAAUGGACGAAAGUCUGACGGAGCAACGCCGCGUGAGUGAUGAAGGUUUUCGGAUCGUAAAACUCUGUUGUUAGGGAAGAACAAGUACGAGAGUAACUGCUCGUACCUUGACGGUACCUAACCAGAAAGCCACGGCUAACUACGUGCCAGCCGCCGCAGUAA